rnacentral:lncRNA from 1 species
AUAUCUCUUAAAUAUUGUCUCAAACACAGUUUUCACAGGAGCUGAAUGUUAGAGAAUUCAAAGCUAAAACCUCUGAUGAGAGUCUUAAGUGACCAUUUUUUGUGUUAUUAACUAAAAAAAGAUACCAGAAAAACUAUAGUACAGGUGGUAUUAGAAACACGAAGAAACAUAACAAAAUUGGAUAGGCCAUUCAACCCUCACAGAGAAAAAGUUAUACGGAACCUCGUACUUACCUAAUAUAGAUAAUAGCUAUUUGUUUACUAAAACUCUGUGAAAAAAAUAAGAAGCAUUGUUUUAAAGAAAACAGUGCGGACUGUGNUUGUUUUCAACAGAAGAGUCUCUAUAUUAGUUCACUUUGCUAAAGGUACUAUGUAGUAGAAAUAGGCUGUCAGUUCAAUUGGGAAGUUUGUAAUGCAAUGUCAUUUUCAUUAUAGGCAGAAUUUAUGUAUUUAAGUCUAACUUCUCACAUAACAUCAAUAUUUCAUUUUACUGCUAUUUACCAUAAAGUACAAUUUGGAAUAAGGCAGAUAUGUCUUAGAUUCCUUAGUACUGUAAUCUCAAGGAUGAGCCUGAUGUCUUGUUUUUUCUUUAUAUGCCCAAUGUUUAUCAAUGUUCGGUGUACACAAGGCACUUAGGAAAUGUUUGGCCUAGAAUGAAUUGAGCUCUUAUAAGGUUAUUCCUCAACCUGGAUUCUUCCAGACAGCAUUGUCCUUAAACUACAAGGCACUAAUAUUUUUUGUUUUAACUUAACAUCUCUCUAUUGGAAAGUAAUCAUAAUUUCCAUUUGUAUUACAAAUCUUCUGCUGGAUGCUGACAAAAUAUAAGAUAUGUCAUGAAAGAUCAAAUGUGAUACAUCUAGAAGAAAGGCAGGAAGGCCCAAGGGAACUUAACUAUCCAGCUUCCUUCAUAGAUGGUUAAUAGCUCAAUGCGAGAUUGAUCUCGCCAACAAUUCUACCCCAGUUUUCCCCCUUCUAGCGUAUUCUUAUGGAGUGGUAGCAGAGUCCCAACAAAUUCAGAAGGAUGCAAAUUGGUUGAGAAUUGCUACUCUUAACUGUGGUAUCUAUGGUAUGGAUAUUCCAUUUAUCUUAUCUUAGAUCUGCAGAUAUUGGAGAGUGUUGAAGUAUUCCUGUAUCCAAUUCUGUCUUCUUUCUGACAUAUGGAAGUCACACCUUUUACAGAAGCUCUUCUUCCCUAUCUGAAGUUCUCACUUACUGAGGCAUGAUGUAUGCAGAUAAUCAGCAACUAACCCCUGGCUGGGGGUGGGGACAGUGUAAAAUAAUGAAGAAUACAUACAUAGUCCCUGACUUUAAGAACCUUUAAGUAACCAAACAUAUAGCCCUGGUAAGCCUUACUGAAGUACAGGGAUCCCCCAAAUGUAAGGGUCUGUUUUUUGGUUUUUUUUCCUACAGCAUAAGUGAUUAUGCAUGGCCUAAAGCUGCAUCCCUGAACGAAUUUCAAAAAAUCUGCUAUAGAGUAUUGUGGAUAGUUUGGGCCUUUCUUUUUUGGGUGGAAAACAAAAGAAAAAUGUGUAGAGUGUUGUGUUUGUGCUUGUUUCUUUUUAAAUCUAUUUGAAUGUGAAAGUAUGUUAAAAAUCAAAAUAAGGAAGUGUCUCAUUUCUUCUUUUUACUUUACUUUUUUCAAAAUGAAUGUGAAUUGCACAUGACUCAAAAUUAUUUCUAUGAAAUAAAGAAUAGCUCUUUUUAGUGAGAAUCUUGUUACUACUAAAGCUAAAAAGUGGUAUUGAAUUCCGUUUUUAACCAGAUACGCAGUUAAAAUUAUGUUUCCUAUAUUUCCAGAAGCUUUUAACAGUCAUAUUUUUUAUCAUCAUUUUGCUCAAAUGAUUGGGUUACUGAGAAUAACAGCCUUAUCAGCAGGUUAGAAACAAAACCUGUGUUAUCUUGUCAUUUUUAGUAUUUGGAACAUAGCACUUAUAUUUUUCAAAAAGCAUUUAAAGAUUUUUUUUACUUUUUUAGAACAGUAUAUUUCUUUCUCUGGAAAAGAAAACAUUUGAAGUUAAGUACUUAACUCAGAAAAAUAUCUGUAUUUCAUUACUGAGAAUUCAGUUCAACAUUUACUAAACUCCCAUUAUUCAGAAGACUUUACCAGAUAGUCAUUCGGUCAGCAAAUGUUUAUUACGUGCCUGAUGUGUGCCAGACACUAUUCUAAGCACUGAGAUGGAUACAGCAGCAGACAUAGCAAAGUUCCUGCCUCGAAGAGCUUACAUUUUAGUCAGAGCAGAUGGACAAUUAACUUAAAAGCCAAAAAACAAACUAGUAAAUAAAGAAACAAGUAAAUGGUUUCAGAUGCCACAAAGUGUUAUGAAAAACAUUGAACACAAUAAGGGGUUGGAGAGCAGGCAGGAAGUGAAGGAGCGAUGGUGCUCCUUUAGUUAAUUUUUUUCAUACAUCGAGGCUGCCUAGUCCUGCUGCUUCUACUCCCCUUCACUAAGUUACUUGAAAACAAGGUGCUCUGUCUGUACCACAGAGCAGUGUGACAUCACUGACUGAGCUGUGAUAGAAGUAUACCAGUCCAGCCGCAUUCCUUGCCCCUUUUCCUUGUGCAUUGCUAACUGGUUGUAAAAGGUGAAACUUUCCACCCAUUUCCCACCACCUCUUACACACCGUGGUAGUCCCUGAGGCACAGAAGGAGAUCCAGAUGCUGGGCUGCAAAAAUAAUAAUAAUAAUAGUAAUAAUCAUGGGUGCCCACUGUAGGCAUUAAGUAGAGAAUAUUUGAAGGUGAUACCAGAUUUGAAGACUCCAACACUUAGAAUGAUAGUCACUGAACACAGUAAGGAAA